GAUGAACGCUGGCGGCGUGCCUAAUACAUGCAAGUCGAGCGAACAGACGAGGAGCUUGCUCCUCUGACGUUAGCGGUGGACGGGUGAGUAACACGUGGAUAACCUACCUAUAAGACUGGGAUAACUUCGGGAAACCGGAGCUAAUACUGGAUAAUAUAUUGAACCGCAUGGUUCAAUAGUGAAAGACGGUUUUGCUGUCACUUAUAGAUGGAUCCGCGCCGCAUUAGCUAGUUGGUAAGGUAACGGCUUACCAAGGCAACGAUGCGUAGCCGACCUGAGAGGGUGAUCGGCCACACUGGAACUGAGACACGGUCCAGACUCCUACGGGAGGCAGCAGUAGGGAAUCUUCCGCAAUGGGCGAAAGCCUGACGGAGCAACGCCGCGUGAGUGAUGAAGGUCUUCGGAUCGUAAAACUCUGUUAUUAGGGAAGAACAAAUGUGUAAGUAACUAUGCACGUCUUGACGGUACCUAAUCAGAAAGCCACGGCUAACUACGUG
rnacentral:rRNA from 1 species